GAUGAACGCUGGCGGCGUGCCUAAUACAUGCAAGUCGAGCGAACAGACGAGGAGCUUGCUCCUCUGACGUUAGCGGCGGACGGGUGAGUAACACGUGGAUAACCUACCUAUAAGACUGGGAUAACUUCGGGAAACCGGAGCUAAUACCGGAUAAUAUAUUGAACCGCAUGGUUCAAUAGUGAAAGACGGUUUUGCUGUCACUUAUAGAUGGAUCCGCGCCGCAUUAGCUAGUUGGUAAGGUAACGGCUUACCAAGGCAACGAUGCGUAGCCGACCUGAGAGGGUGAGCGGCCACACUGGAACUGAGACACGGUAAAGACGACGACGGGAGGCAGCAGUAGGGAAUCUUCCGCAAUGGGCGAAAGCCUGACGGAGCAACGCCGCGUGAGUGAUGAAGGUCUUCGGAUCGUAAAACUCUGUUAUUAGGGAAGAACAAAUGUGUAAGUAACUAUGCACGUCUUGACGGUACCUAAUCAGAAAGCCACGGCUAACUACGUG
rnacentral:rRNA from 1 species